ACCGGACUCUCUCUAGGAUUAAAUCAGCAUGUUCCCAAAUCUUAGUGAUCAGGAAAUAACUCAGCCUGCCUCGGAUGUAGGCAGGGGAGGGGGUUGUCUUUGUCUGCCUGGAAGAUGGCGACCGGCAGGGUGUGAGAAAAUGGCCGCCUGGGUCACAUGUCUAGCCGAGAAUUUCCCACCUGAAAUGAAUUGGGUUAGCAAUUCCCAACAACCUUCCCAGUUCACAGGGCUCCAGAUGAACCCUGAGGCAGCCACUCCCAGAACUUUCUGCAGAAGCUCACAUCCGUGGCCAGGUUCUGCCCGAGAAGGAGCCAGGAAUAACUUGGAAGCUUCUCCCACCCAUAUGCUGACCCUCCUCCCUCCUUCCCUGAAUUGCGGAGCAGCGUUUGCGGAAGGAAUGAAUUUGUGUCUCUGAAGUGGGACCAAGUAAGGUUUUUUUUUGUUUUGUUUUGUUUUUCAGAAACCAUUUCUAGGAGCACCCGACGUGGUUGGAGAGUGGGUAUACCCCUAAAAACAGUAAAUAGUCUGAAAAUGGCUUUUCCUUAGUAAUCUAAUUCCAGCCCCUCCUCUUCCUCUAAUCUAGACCUCUGGAGGGGGCAGAGGGUAGGUGGGGCUUUACCCGGAGGGUAUGUUCCUCCACUUUAAGCACAUCUGCUGAAAAUGACUUCCUCAGCCCUCCUAUCCCUUAGCACAUGCUAAUCUCACUCACUAGCCCUAUAUCCAUGAAAGACUUCUAACCUCUCCCCAUAGAGGCAUAAAAAUUCCUUUGGACACCAAACUAACCCUGGCCACCUUCACAUUUCUCCCGCAUUUGCAAAUUCAGUUUUUUGAAAGACCUAACUCCUAUCACUUCUGUAAAGUUGCUAUGAACUUUCACAGUUGAGUAAAAACCCAGAGCACUUUGUAUAUAACUGUUAACACCUCACUGAAUAUUGUACUGUAGUUGUUUAUGUGACUAUAUCUCCACAGUAGAGUGAACUCCCUGAGAUUAGGGACCAUGUGUCUUCCAGUUCUCAAUCAUACCUAGCACAAAAUGGGUACAAGGUUGGUUUCAGCAAAUUUGACAAAACGGGUGAAUUUAAAGCCUAUAUCUCUAAUCAUUGGAAAAUGAACAAUUUAAUAGAUAGCAUUGGGAAAUUUAACUCACCAAAAAAAAAAAAACCUAGAUCUCUACUUAUUCUACACAAGAAUGUGGACUGCAAAUAAGAAGGUAAAACUAUAAAGCUAAUAUAAAAUAUGCAGGAACAUACCUUUGUGGCCUAUAACUGGGGAAGGGUUUUUUGAGGGGAGUGGUACUAGAAAUGGAACCCAGGGGCACUCUACUACUGAGCAAUACCACCAACCCUUUUUAUUUUUAUUUUGACCCAAGUUCUCACCAAGUUGCCUAAGCUGACCUCAGAUUUAUAGGUCCUCCUGCUUCAGCCUCCUGAGUAGCUGUGAUUAUAGGCCUGCACUACUGUACCUGGUUUGGGGAAGGACUUUUUAAACAAAAUCCUUAGUACACAGAAAAUGCAGUAGAGAACACAUGUAAUCAAAUCUUUGAUAGGAAUAAAAAUUGGUACUAUUGCUUCAGAAAACAAUUAUAAAUUGCCGUGAAUAGUUGAAGAUGGCUCUGGGAUCCAACAGUUCUCCUGUUGGAGAUAGGUAGAAGAUCUCCCCUACACAUUAAAUCCUGAAGAAAUUCUUAUACAUAUGCUCAAGAAGGCAUGUGCAAGAGUAAUCUUUGCAGAACUGUUGUAGUGGAGAAAAAAAUUUGAAUGUCACCAAUAGGAGAAUGAAUAAAGAAAUUGUACUAUAGCCAUACAACACAAUACUAUACAACAUUGAAAAUGAAUGAAUCAGGUUGAGGCAGGAGGAUCACCAGUUCCAGGCCAGCAUAGGCAACAGAGAAAGAAUCUGUCUCAAAAAAAUACAUACACACACAAAGAAUGAGUAAGAGUUGCAUGCAUGAACCCAGAUAAAUUUCAAAAAUAAUGCCAAGAUAAAUACAAGUUGCAGAAGAAUACACAAAGUAUGAAACUACUUUACAUAGAGUUUUAAAUCUCAAAUAAUGUACUAUGCUGUUUAUAGAUUAUGUAGACACAUAUUUUGGGGGGGCGGGGGGGCAGUACAGGGGAUUGAACAAGGGGUACUCUACCACUGAACUACAUCCCUAGACCUUAUUUUCUGUUUUGAGGCAUGGUCUCACUAAGUUGCCCCGGCUGACCUCAAACUUGGAGUUCUGGUGCCUCAGUCUCCCAAGUUGUUGAAACGGUAUUUUUAAAAUAGAAAUACCAAAAACAUAAUGGUGAUUACUUCUGGAGAAGAAAAUAGGAACAGAAAGAGAGAGAGAUGCACAGGAGACUUCAACUGUUUUGUCUAAUAUUUUAUCUUCUGAGCUGAGUAGUAGGUACAUGGGUGUGUGUUGCAUUAUUCUCUAUACUUAUUUGAAUGCCUCAAAUAAUAUUUUUUCAAAUGACUCAAAGGAUCUACAACAAAGUGUUAAUAAUAGUUUGAAUCUAGAUCACUAUUUCUCUAACUUUGGCUAGAAUCAGAAUCACUGGAAGGUCUUGUUAAAAUACUGAUUACUGGGCCCCACGCCCAGAGUUUUGGUUCAGUAAGUCUGGUUUAGGACCCAGGAAUUUGCGUUUCUAACAAGUUCCCAAGCAUAGUGAUGAUGAUGAUGAUGAUGAUGAUGAUGAUGAAGAAGCUGUUAUUAUUGCUAGUCUAGAUACCACAUUUUGAGAACUACUGAUGGAGAAAAUGAGAUUAUCAGUGAAUUUAAUUUUCUUCCUUGUGCUUUUCUGUGUUUUCCAUUUAUUUGAUGAAUAUGUAUUAUUUUAAUGAAAGGUUUCUGUUUUUACUUAAAAUCACUUUCAUCUCUACUUCCCACUUUCAUUUCCCUCCUCUACACAAUCUAAGAUAUUUUAUGCAUAUCUUUACAUUUGCCACCUUGCAAUAGAUGUAUUAUUUUAGAUGCAUAUAUUUCCUCAAAUUUUUAAUUUUUCAAAAUUCAGGACAGUUAGAAGAAAAGCAUAAUGAAAACCCAUGUGCCCAUACUAUUUUGCCAAAUAUUCUACAUAAUCACAAUACCACUAUCACACUUAAGAAAAUUUAGCAGUUAUUCAGUAAUAUCAAAUAUGGCCAAGGGCUCAGAGUUUAGCUCAGACCCCUAUAUCUUUGUGGGUUUUUUAUUGUACCUCCCCACUAUUUCAGGGAGUAUACUGGGGAUUGAACUCAUGGGCAUUUUACUAUUGAGCUACAUCUUCAGCCCUUUUUAUUUUUUAUUUUGAGACAAGGUCUCACCAAGUUGCUGAGGAUCUUGCUAAAGCUGUUGAGGCUGACCUCAAAUUUGUGAUCCUCCUGCCUCAGCCUCAUAAAUUGCUGGGAUUACAGGCAUGUGCUACCACACCUGGCUUUUUCCUCCCUAUAUUUUUUGUGUGUUUCAAAUGACAUUGAUAUUUUUGAGGAGUCCAGGAUAGUUGUACUUUUCCUUUCCUUUUUCUUCAAUAUGGGAAUUGAACCCAGGGCCUUACACACUCUAUGCAAGUGCUCUACCACAAACUACAUCCCCAAUCCUUUUUAUUGCAUUGUGAAAGAGGGUCUCAUUGAGUUGCUCAAGCUGGCCUCAAGUUGAGAUUAUCUUGCAGGCUCAUUGUUAUGUAUAAUGUCCCACAUUCUGGGAUCAUGCUUUCUUUCAAUAUGGUUAGAUUCAGAUUAAAUGUUUUCAGCAAGAGGAGUACAUAGAAAAUAUCCUUUAUUUCAUAUUGUAUCACCUCAGGAGGCACAUAAUAUCAAGUUGUUCCUUGAUGAUGCUUUGUGUUUGUAAUUUUAUUUUAAGUAAUGAUAUCUCAUUCUGUUGCUUUUUUCAUCCAUUCUUCUGUUUUUAUGUAUACUUCUAAUCCCUUGCUUCUACCUCCUCAUGGUAACUAGUGCACUUUUGCUGCAUUUCCCAUAAAUAUUCAAUGGACAGCAUGAUGGUCUCUAGCUCCCCAAUGGUACAAAUAAUACUUCAAUGAACAUCCUUGUACAUGUCCCCUUAUUGACCUGUAUGAGGAUUUGUUUUGCAAUAAGGGUUUUUUUUUCUUUUGUCAGUUUGCUUACUUGAGCCUAGGACCUAAUACAUACUGGACAAACACUCUACCACUAAGCUGCAUCCCAAAUCCCCUCUCCUUUUUUUUUUCAUUUUGUUUUGAGACAAGGACUCACUGUGUUGACAAAGGUGGCCUUGAACUUGGAAUACUCCUGCCUCACCCUCAUAAAUAGCUGGGAUUAUAGGUGAAUGUCACUGUGCCAAGAGAGAAUUUGUUUUGGAACAUACACCCAAGAGCAGAAUGAUUGUAUCCUAAAGUGUACAUAUAUAUUUAGAUUCACAUUGGACACCAAUUCUUCUAAAUGGUUCUCCAGGAUGGCUGUACCAGUCCCAUACUUUGACCACAUAUAAGGAUUUCUAUAUGCCUGCAUCCUCAUUAAGAUUUGAUGUUUUCCAGCCUUCUAGUAUUUGCCAGUCUAACAGGUGUGACUCAGUAUUUUGGUUUAGCUUAUAUUUCUUUGUAUGCUAAUGCAUUUUUAGCAUCCUUUCAUAUGUGUGUUAAACACCUGUUCUGUAAAUUGCUUGCUUAAUAGCUCAUAUUUUAUGUUGAAGUUCCUAUCUUUCCUAUGGAUUUCCUUUUGAUUUACUGGAGUUUCUAACAGAGUCUAGCUAUUAGAUUCAGACAUUGUAAAUAUUCUUUUGUAACUUGGAAAAUGUUAGACUUCUUUGAACAGAAAUUGUUAAUUUUGAUGAAAUAAAAUUCAUCAGGUUUUUUUUCUCUUCGUGGGCUUUUUCUUUUGUUUUGUUUGGCUGUUUGUUUACUUGUUUUUACACUACUGAGCAUUGACUCCAGGAGUGUUUAACCACUGAGCUAUGUCUCCAGUGCUUUUUUAAUUUUUAGUUUGAGACACGUCUCACUAAGUUGUCUAGUCUGGCCUUGAAUUUACAGUCUUUCUGUUGAGCUUCCUUAGUAGCUGGGAUUACAAGUUUCACUUUGUAGUUUGAGGUUUAGAGAUUUUAUUUAUUUAUUUAUUUAUUUAUUUAUUUAUUUGGCACUGGAGAUUGAACCCAGUGCCUUGCACAUGCUAGGCAAGCACUCUACUACUGAGCCAUAUCACCAGCCCUGGGGAUUUUAUUUUUAAAGUACUUACUCUUCCUAACUCAAAAAGAUAUUCUCCUCCUUUUUUUCCAUUAAUUUCAUAGUAUCACCUUUCAAAUAUAGGCCUUAAUCCAUCUAGAAUCCAUAAUCCAUUCUUUUUUACUUUUUUUGUACCAGGGAUUGAACUCAGGGGCACUCAACCACUGAGCCACAUCCCCAUCCCCAUUUUUGUAUUUUAUUUAGAUACAAGGUAUCACUGAGUUUCUUAGUGCCUAGCCAUUGCUGAGGCUGGCUUUGAACUCUUGAUCCUACUGCCUCAGCCUUUGAAGGCACUGGGAUUACAGGCAUGCACCACCACACCCAGCUAGAAUUCAUUCUUACAAGUGGUGAUAGGUGAAGAUAGUUUUUUUUUUCACACAGUAAGCCAGAUUUUCCAUCAUCAAAUACUAAAAAUCCCUCCUUUUCCCAUUGAUUUGCCAUGCCAACUUUAUCAUAUCCAUAUUAUGAUAUGUAUAAGUGUGUCUAUGUCUAGUCUUGCACUAAUGCCACAUUGGUUUUAAUGUUUUAUAAAGUAUCUUAACAUCUGAUAGGGUGUUUUUUUUUCCUCUUUAGUCUUUUUUUAAGAUUAUCUUCAUUAUAUCAUCACAUAAGUUUUAAAUCAAAUCUAUCAAGGUCUUAAAAAUGCGAGUGAGAUUUUGAUGGGGAUCACACUGAAUUUAUAAAUUAAUUUGGGGAAGUUGACAGCAUUGUAAAAUUAACUGAUUCCAUCCAAGAGCAUGGGAUAUCUCCUAAUUUGUUCAGCAUGUCUUCUUCUGUAUUCUUUAAGUUUAAGGUUUUCUCUUUAGAAUUAUUUUAUAUUAAUUUAUAUUUUCUUGAGAGUUUUGGUUACUAUUGUGUUUUGUUUUUAUAUAUUUUCUAUAGCUAAUAUACAUAUAUUUUCAAUAUCAAAACUAUUCAAUAUUUAUUUAGGUACUGAAGUUUGAACUCAGGAGCACUUUACUACUAAGCUACAUUCCCAUUCCUGUUUCCAUUUUUUUUUUUUUAAUUUUGAGACAGGUCUUGCUAAACUGCCCAGGCUGACCUCAAACUUGUGAACUUUCUGCCUCAGCCUCCUGAGUAACUGGACUGAAUAUCAAAGUAUUUUAAAAUUAUGCUUUGAGAGAAGGCUCUUCCAGCACCAUGCAAAGCACAGUACUCAUGUGUACCUACAAGGAAGUGAGCAUGUUGCAUUUUGAGGAAUUCAAUCAGGCUGUGAAGCAGCACAACAGACAAGACCAUUUUCUCCUACUUUACCAGUACUAAGGACCCUGAAGGGAAAAUCUAGUAUCCCUAGUGUGUGCAGGCUGAACCAGUUGUUCAAGAGGGGCUGAAGCAUAUUAAUGAAGGAUGUAUUUUCACCCACUGCCAAGAGAAAAAUCUUACUGGAGAGAUCCAAAUGAUGAUUUCAGAAAACAAUUGAAAGUACCUGCAGUGCCUACACUAAUUAAGUAUGGAAUGCCUCAAAAACUGGUAGAAUCUGAGUUUUUUCAGGCCAAACUUAUGGACAUAUUGUUGUCUAGAAGAUGAUGGUAGAGAUGGAAGAUGAUAGGAGAGCCAGGUAUGGUGACACAUGCCUAUAAUCCCAGUGGCUCAGGAGGCAGAGGCAGGAGGAUUGUAAAUUCGAGACCUCUCUCAGCAAAUUAGUGAAGCCCUAGGUAUUUAGCAAGACUGCCUCUCAAAAUAAAAGAUCAAAAGGAAGGAUUGGGGAUGUGGCUCAAUGCUUAAGCCACCCUAGGUUCAUUUCCCAGUAUCAAAAAAAAAAAUUUCAUGAUGGCAAUUGUGUCUUGAUUUCCUGGUUUGCUCUAGUAUAAAAGAGACUGCAUACUUGCUUUGAAUUUAUUUUAGCAAUAAAUAAAUGGUGAAGCCAAAAUUAGCUUUUGUCUAAACAAUAAAGAAUGC
rnacentral:lncRNA from 1 species